rnacentral:lncRNA from 1 species
AGACGCUCGGCGCGCAAGUGGCUGAACCGCCCGCCACUCUGCGGCCGGAGCCGAGCACCCGCCCCGAGCGCCACGCGGGGCUGCUCUGAGCUCAGGGGGCUGCCGGCUAAACUUAUCCUCCUGCAUAUGCAUGAACGGAUGGCCUUUCCGCUCCGCAAUGGAGAGGCCUGGGGUUUUGCGGUAGGCUGCUUAGUGGAGCAAGAGUAAAGUAGGGCGUCGUGGAAGUUUUCGCGCCGGAGCUCCCCGCCCCCUCCAGACACUGGGUGUUAACUCAACCUGGCUACAAUCGGUUCGCCAGAUCCGGCUUUAUCGGAUUGUUUCAAAUCCAGGGACGUCGCUCUAGUGAAGAGCCCACCCCUUCAUUCCUGUCUCUAUUCUUCCUAAACUCACCACCUUUCAGCAAAACGAACACAGCUUUCCCCAGUAGGCCCUUUAUGUGCUCUGGGUGAGAUUCCCUAAAGCUGCUGAGCUCAGGCCGGGAAAGGGCGAGGUGAGGAUCUAUCCCAAUGUGAGGUCUGACACGUGAUCCUCUACCCCCAGCGGGCCAUCUGUUCUUUUUCCUUCCCGCCGGGAGGCUGGCAACUUUGUCUGGGCAAGGUCCACGCCUCUCAGCAGGAAAAUACCGAGAAAAGCCAGAAUCGGCAGAAACCUGUAUCUACAGCAUGUGACUUUAAGCUGAACUUCGGGCCUAGAGCUGGGACCAUAC